rfam:Marine metagenome ctg_1101668031962, whole genome shotgun sequence.
GACGAACACCCAUCACAAUGGAUCGUCCGGCACGUACCUGCCGGUGAAGGAGAAGAUC